ACAGCAGUAGCCGCGGUAAAACAGAGGAUGUAAGCGUUAUCCAGAAUGAUUGGGUGUAAAGCGUCUGUAGGUGGCUUUUCAAGUCCGCCGUCAAAUCCCAGGGCUAACCCUGGACAGGCGAUGGAAACUACCAAGCUGGAGUAUGGUAGGGGCAGAGGGAAUUUCCGGUGGAGAGGUGAAAUGCGUUGAGAUCAGAAAGACACCAACGGCGAAAGCACUCUGCUGGGCCGACACUGACACUAAGAGAUGAAAGCCAGGGGAGAAAAUGGGAUUAGAUACCCCGGUAGUCCCUGUCUCUUAUACAC
rnacentral:rRNA from 1 species